rnacentral:rRNA from 1 species
UGAACGCUGGCGGCGUGCCUAAUACAUGCAAGUCGAGCGAACGGACGAGAAGCUUGCUUCUCUGAUGUUAGCGGCGGACGGGUGAGUAACACGUGGAUAACCUACCUAUAAGACUGGGAUAACUUCGGGAAACCGGAGCUAAUACCGGAUAAUAUUUUGUUCAAAAGUGAAAGACGGUCUUGCUGUCACUUAUAGAUGGAUCCGCGCUGC